rnacentral:rRNA from 1 species
CUGGCGGCGUGCCUAAUACAUGCAAGUCGAACGGUCUUUCUAUGGAAGCUUGCUUCCACUGAGAAGAUAGUGGCGAACGGGUGAGUAACACGUGGGUAACCUGCCCAUAAGAGGGGGAUAACAUCCGGAAACGGGUGCUAAUACCGCAUAGUUUUCUUGAUCGCAUGAUCGGGAAAGGAAAGACGGCCUUUGUGCUGUCGCUUAUGGAUGGACCCGCGGCGUAUUAGUUAGUUGGUGAGGUAACGGCUCACCAAGACGAUGAUACGUAGCCGACCUGAGAGGGUGAUCGGCCACAUUGGGACUGAGACACGGCCCAAACUCCUACGGGAGGCAGCAGUAGGGAAUCUUCCGCAAUGGACGAAAGUCUGACGGAGCAACGCCGCGUGAGUGAAGAAAAGGUUUUCGGAUCGUAAAACUCUGUUGUCAGAGAAGAACAAGUUGGAGAGUAACUGCUCCAGCCUUGACGGUAUCUGACCAGAAAGCCACGGCUAACUACGUGCCAGCCGCAGC